GUGAAUCAUCGAGUCUUUGAACGCAACUUGCACCAUCCAGAGAUGGAUGGUAUGUCUGUUUGAGUACGAAAAACGUAAUGCGCUUCGGUGCGAUGUGGCCCACACGGUGGGUUGAAAAGGAGCCAGUCAGGCUGGACGGUCUGGCAGUGUGCUAGGGACGGAGUGUGGAGUAGGUGGUGCUGAGGUGGGCGUGGAGUGUGGAUGUGCGAUGCAUAUCUGCGCAACACGCUGCACGCAAUACCACCCGCUCGCAUGCUCACUGUCUUGUCGCUGCCGGCGCCAACCAGCCUCAUAAUCCAACCUCACGUCUCAAAUCAAGGCAAGAAGACCCGCUGAACUUAAGCAUAUCAAUAAGGCGAGG
rnacentral:rRNA from 1 species